GAUGAACGCUAGCGAUAGGCUUAACACAUGCAAGUCGAGGGGCAACGGGAUGUAGCGAUACAUUGCCGGCGACCGGCGCACGGGUGCGUAACGCGUAUGCAACCUGCCCAAUUUCGGAGGAUAACCCGUUGAAAGACGGACUAAAACUCCAUACCACCGUAAUGUCACCUGGGAUUAUGGUAAAACGAGAAGGAAAUUGGAUGGGCAUGCGUUCCAUUAGAUAGUUGGUGGGGUAAUGGCCCACCAAGUCGACGAUGGAUAGGGGAACUGAGAGGUUUAUCCCCCACACUGGUACUGAGACACGGCCCAGACUCCUACGGGAGGCAGCAGUGGGGAAUAUUGCGCAAUGGAGGAAACUCUGACGCAGCAACGCCGCGUGAAGGAUGAAGGUUUUCGGAUUGUAAACUUCUUUGAUCGGGGACGAAAUAGACGGUACCCGAGGAACAAGCCACGGCUAACUACGUG
rnacentral:rRNA from 1 species